UUAUCCUUCUGUCUGUGGUACAACCGUUCUUUUAUACGUCAGUGUACAACACGGAAGAAGGUCUUCGCUGCAAUAAUUUGACACUUCUGCUUGUUCACUUCGAAUAACUACAUGUCUAUUCUUCCUCAAGAAGAAUUGGUCAAGAAAUGGGAAAGUGAACAGGCCAGCCUGAGGCAGCAGGUGGUGGAGGAGGACACAGAGGAUUGGCAGAGAUGUCACGACUUCACCGGGCUGGAGAGGGUUGGAGGAGUGGACCUGUCGUUCAUCAAAGGAGAUGACGUCAACGCCUGUGCCCAGCUAGUGGUGCUCAGCUACCCAGACCUAGAGCUGCUGUAUGAGGACAGUCAGAUGGUGACCCUGACCGCCCCCUACAUCUCAGGGUUCCUGGCCUUCAGGGAGACCCCCUAUCUGCUGGAGGCCCUGCAGCGCCUGGAGACGACCCAGCCCAGCCUGCUACCUCAGGUGGUCUUGGUGGAUGGGAAUGGUCUGUUCCACUACAGAGAGUUUGGCCUGGCGUGUCACCUUGGAGUCCUGUCAGGGCUUCCCUGUAUAGGUGUGGCCAAGAACCUCCUGCAGGUGCAGGGUGUAGAGAAGAACGAGGAACACCAGUCACAGAUUGCCUCAUUGCAGAAGGGAGGCGAGAGCUUCCCUCUGACUAGCGACUCAGGAAAAGUGCUGGGGAAGGCCCUGCGUAGUUCUGACAGCAGUACCAAACCAGUGUAUGUUUCAGUGGGCCACAAGAUCAGCCUGGACACGGCCCUGCGCCUCACACACUCCUGCUGCCGCUACCGUGUCCCAGAGCCUAUCAGACAGACGGUCGUCAACGUUGACCCUUGACAAUCCGUAUUGCUGCCAGCCAGCACUCAACCACGUACACACACACACACACACACACACACACACACACACACACACACACACACACACACACACACACAAACACACACUGAUGAUAGCGCAGAGCCAGCAGUGACAGGUUGCCAAGUUUUCUCGUGCUGUGGAAACAACAAUAUGCUCCUGCUACUCAGCGUUUAAUUGCGGUUUGCUGUUGGGACCCAAACACAGGUGCAGGGAGGUUUGCCAAAUAAGGGCACAGGCAUCGUUUAUGCAUUCAGGAAGAGGGACAAAUUGGAGCGUGUACAUUAAUGAGGUGUUUUGGGGUAUCGGAAGUAGGGAUUUGGGUUGACAGGUUGGGUUAAGGAGCUGGGUAUGUAGACUGUUCAUGUGAGAUGGGUUGGGGAUCGUACUGUAGCAAAAUCAUUUUAACUAGGUUGCAGUUGGCACCUGUUCAGAAUGUAAACUUAAACCCCUCGCCUCUUUUUCCAUUCCUCUUCUCCUCUCCUAUCUAUUCCUGUCCUUUCCACUUCCCUUCUUUCAUCUUCUCCCCUCUUCUCCUCUUUUCUUUCCUCUCCUCUAUUCUCCUGCCUUCCUCUCUUUCCUCUCCUCCUCCCCUCCUCACUGUACCUGUUCAACCUGAGAGAAAGAAAAUCCCUCAGUCUGUCUGAUCUCUACAGUUGAGAGCGAGAUGAAAGAGAGAGACGACGUCGCGGUUGGAGUCUGCAGUGAAGUUGAUGGUGCAGAGGGCUGAAGGCAGAGGCACUGCAGCAGAGUCUGUAUGCACAGUAUUCCUUAAAGAGGUGGGGUUUCAGGUGUCUCCGGAAGGUGGUGAUUGACUCCGCUGUCCUGGCGUCGUGAGGGAGCUUGUUCCACCAUUGGGGUGCCAGAGCAGCGAACAGUUUUGACUGGGCUCAGCGGGAACUGUGCUUCCUCAGAGCCCUGAGAGCCCUGAGCUGAGAUACUCAUCCAUUACUCUGCUCUGCAUCUGAAUCAACAGGAAAUGCUAAAGCAGCACUGUUGCUCCCCAGCUGGUUGCCGUAACAAAUGGAUUUUCAAUGUGAGCGAUUGUUGGAGGUAGCGUUAGCGGUGGGCCGUGGUGGGCCUUUGUAGACAGAGGCGGACAUGCGCUCCAGAGAGUACCUCCGUGUCCACUUCCCAACUGCUGCAGACACCUGAGCAUAGAGGAGAUUGGCUGCCAGCCCAAUGCUGAGCCCUUAAUGUCCUUACAGAGGGUAUUCCAGGUACUACUGUUAUCCCAGGACAGCCUCUCUGCAGGGGGAGGUGUGGGAGUGCUGGGAAGUGGACACAUCAUGAAAUGCAAAACACAACAGUGAUGCCUAACAAGAAGAUACCCAAAGAGCCUUCAACGUGCCUGUUAGUGUGUGAAUGUGUUUUUGUGUGUGAGAGAGUGAGUGGGUGCAUGAGAGAGAUUUACAUGAGAUUUAUAGUGUUUUUAUGCAUUCUCUUUAUAUCCACAGUAUAGUCUAUGGGUAUUUUUAAGAAUAGAAGAAUAUAUUUAUAUACUGUACUCAUGUUUUGGGCUCUUUUUACACAGAGAUGCUUUUUAUCCUGUAAAUAAACCCCAACUGAGCCCUGAA